rnacentral:rRNA from 1 species
CUACGGGGGGCUGCAGUGAGGAAUAUUGGUCAAAGGGGGGGCGCGAGCCUGAACCAGCCAAGUAGCGUGAAGGAUGACUGCCCCAUGAGUUGUAAACUUCUUUUAUAAGGGAAUAAAGUGAGGCACGUGUGCCUUAUUGUAUGUACCUUACGAAUAAGCAUCGACUAACUCCGUGCCAGCAGCCGCGGUAAUACGGAGGAUGCAAGCGUUAUCCGGAUUUAUUGGGUUUAAAGGGAGCGUAGGCGGACUAUUAAGUCAGCUGUGAAAGUUUACGACUCAACCGUGAAAUUGCAGUUGAAACUGGUCGUCUUGAGUGCAGUGAAGGUGGGCGGAAUUCGUGGUGUAGCGGUGAAAUGCUUAGAUAUCACGAAGAACUCCAAUUGCGAAGGUAGCUCACUGGAGUGUAACUGAUGCUGAUGCUCGAAAGUGUGGGUAUUAAACAGGAUUAGAUACCCUAGUAGUC